UACAGAGGGUGCAAGCGUUAUUCGGAUUUACUGGGCGUAAAGGGCGCGUAGGUGGUUUGGUAAGUCUGGUGUUAAAUCCCUCGACUCAAUCGAGGAAGUGCACCGGAUACUGCUAGACUGGAGUAUGGGAGAGGAGAGUGGAAUUCCAGGUGUAGAGGUGAAAUUCGUAGAUAUCUGGAGGAACAACAGAGGCGAAGGCGGCUCUCUGGACCAUUACUGACACUGAGGCGCGAAAGCGUGGGGAGCAAACAGG
rnacentral:rRNA from 1 species